AAGAAAUAGGAAGUGAGAAAGU
rnacentral:miRNA from 1 species